rnacentral:rRNA from 1 species
GACGAACGCUGGCGGCGUGCUUAACACAUGCAAGUGGAGCGACGAACCGGGCUUCGGCCCGGGGCAAAGCCGCGAACGGGUGAGUAACACGUGGGUUACCUGCCCCGAUGACCGGGACAACCCGGGGAAACCCGGGCUAAUACCGGAUGUGCCCUUCGGGGGAAAGGAAGCUUCGGCCUCCGCAUCGGGAUGGGCCCGCGGCCCAUUAGCUUGUUGGUGGGGUAAUGGCCCACCAAGGCUGCGAUGGGUAGCUGGUCUGAGAGGACGAUCAGCCACACUGGGACUGAGACACGGCCCAGACUCCUACGGGAGGCAGCAGUGGGGAAUCUUGCGCAAUGCGCGAAAGCGUGACGCAGCAACGCCGCGUGGGGGAAGACGGCCUUCGGGUUGUAAACCCCUUUCAGUUGGGACGAAGCUCUGCCCGUGAAUAGCGGGCCGGAGUGACGGUACCUUCAGAAGAAGCCCCGGCUAACUACGUGCCAGCAGCCGCCGUAAAAC